rnacentral:rRNA from 1 species
UACGUAGGGUGCAAGCGUUGUCCGGAAUUAUUGGGCGUAAAGAGCUCGUAGGCGGCUUGUCACGUCUGCUGUGAAAACUCGGGGCUCAACCCCGUGCCUGCUUCCGAUACGGGCAGACUAGAGGUAUGCAGGGGAGAACGGAAUUCCUGGUGUAGCGGUGAAAUGCGGCAGAAUAAUCAGGAGGAACACCGGUGGCGAAGGGCGGGAUUCAUCCGUUGGGGCCGAAGCUUGAUCC